rnacentral:rRNA from 1 species
AAACCUCUUUUAUCAAGGAAGAAGAUCUGACGGUACUUGAUGAAUAAGCCACGGCUAAUUCCGUGCCAGCAGCCGCGGUAAUACGGGAGUGGCAAGCGUUAUCCGGAAUUAUUGGGCGUAAAGCGUCCGCAGGCGGCCUUGUAAGUCUGUUGUCAAAGCGUGGAGCUUAACUCCAUUUCGGCAAUGGAAACUGUGAGGCUUGAGUGUGGUAGGGGCAGAGGGAAUUCCCGGUGUAGCGGUGAAAUGCGUAGAUAUCGGGAAGAACACCAGUGGCGAAGGCGCUCUGCUGGGCCAUAACUGACGCUCAUGGACGAAAGCCAGGGGAGCGAAAGGGAU